GGGUCUUCUGGCUGUGUGCUGUGUUUUGAAGGGGAAUGUUCAGUAGCUGGAGACCCUAUUUUCAGUUAGUCUGAUGUUUGGUUGCUACCUUCCUGCGUAUGCUGUGGCAGAACUGUGGGUCAGCUUACAAAAUGCUCUGAAAUCCUACAGAAGCGCUAUGCACAUCCCCUGUAAGGAGGAAAUUCAUAAAGGAAAAAUGCUGUGAAUUGAGCUGCGCAAAUCUGGAACAGCCGACUCGCAACAAAUUCUCUAUCUGUUUUAAAGGAAUUCACUAAAACCAUCUUUACUUCCCCUCUUUGAAUGAAGAAGUGCCCUCAUGACUGCAGAGACAUUGUACAAAGGACAUCCAGGUCAAUGAAUGCCUUUGCUUUGGCUUCAGUGGGCUUUCAGUCAGGUCACAUUGAGAGUUGCAGCGUGCAAGGAGCUGACAUUUUUCAGGAAUGCAUCUCUACAGCUUCAUUUUGAAGAGUCAUUAGUUGUAUGCCUUUGCUUAGAUGGAGCUGUAACUUGCCAUCCCUACUCUUUAUAGAUGCAAUUUUAAAAUGUAUUUUUGGGUAGAUUUCUGGGAACUGAGAGAAACAUACAGCAACACAAAUGGAGGGAGGUAAUGUGCUUCUGAGAGCAUGCAAAGGGUUCUGAAAAAUACUCACUUUGUCUUAAUAUUUAAUAAUAAACCCAGUCUUCU
rnacentral:lncRNA from 7 species